rnacentral:rRNA from 1 species
GAUGAACGCUGGCGGCGUGCCUAAUACAUGCAAGUCGAGCGAACAGACGAGGAGCUUGCUCCUCUGACGUUAGCGGCGGACGGGUGAGUAACACGUGGAUAACCUACCUAUAAGACUGGGAUAACUUCGGGAAACCGGAGCUAAUACCGGAUAAUAUAUUGAACCGCAUGGUUCAAUAUUGAAAGACGGUUUUGCUGUCACUUAUAGAUGGAUCCGCGCCGCAUUAGCUAGUUGGUAAGGUAACGGCUUACCAAGGCAACGAUGCGUAGCCGACUUGAGAGGGUGAUCGGCCACACUGGAACUGAGACACGGUCCAGACUCCUACGGGAGGCAGCAGUAGGGAAUCUUCCGCAAUGGGCGAAAGCCUGACGGAGCAACGCCGCGUGAGUGAUGAAGGUCUUCGGAUCGUAAAACUCUGUUAUUAGGGAAGAACAAAUGUGUAAGUAACUAUGCACGUCUUGACGGUACCUAAUCAGAAAGCCACGGCUAACUACGUG